UACGUAGGUGGCAAGCGUUAUCCGGGUUUAUUGGGCGUAAAGGGAACGCAGGCGGUCUUUUAAGUCUGAUGUGAAAGCCUUCGGCUUAACCGGAGUAGUGCAUUGGAAACUGGGAGACUUGAGUGCAGAAGAGGAGAGUGGAACUCCAUGUGUAGCGGUGAAAUGCGUAGAUAUAUGGAAGAACACCGGUGGCGAAAGCGGCUCUCUGGCCUGUAACUGACACUGAGGCUCGAAAGCGUGGGGAGCAAACAGG
rnacentral:rRNA from 1 species